UCGGGAAUUUUGGGCAAUGGGCGAAAGCCUGACCCAGCAACGCCGCGUGGGGGAUGAAGUAUUUCGGUAUGUAAACCUCGAAAGAAUGGGAAGAAUAAAUGACGGUACCAUUUAUAAGCUCCGGCUAACUACGUGCCAGCAGCCGCGGUAAUACGUAGGGAGCAAGCGUUGUUCGGAUUUACUGGGCGUAAAGGGCGCGUAGGCGGCGCGGUAAGUCACUUGUGAAAUCUCUGAGCUUAACUCAGAACGGCCAAGUGAUACUGCUGCGGUAGAGUGCGGAAGAGGCAACCGGAAUUCUUGGUGUAGCGGUGAAAUGCGUAGAUAUCAAGAGGAACACCUGAGGCGAAGGCGGGUUGCUGGGCCGACACUGACGCUGAUGCGCGAAAGACAGGGGAGCAAACG
rnacentral:rRNA from 1 species